GAUGAACGCUGGCGGCGUGCCUAAUACAUGCAAGUCGAGCGAACAGACGAGGAGCUUGCUCCUCUGACGUUAGCGGCGGACGGGUGAGUAACACGUGGAUAACCUACCUAUAAGACUGGGAUAACUUCGGGAAACCGGAGCUAAUACCGGAUAAUAUAUUGAACCGCAUGGUUCAAUAGUGAAAGACGGUUUUGCUGUCACUUAUAGAUGGAUCCGCGCCGCAUUAGCUAGUUGGUAAGGUAACGGCUUACCAAGGCAACGAUGCGUAGCCGACCUGAGAGGGUGAUCGGCCACCCUGGAACUGAGACACGGUCAAGACUCCUACGGGAGGCAGCAGUAGGGAAUCUUCCGCAAUGGGCGAAAGCCUGACGGAGCAACGCCGCGUGAGUGAUGAAGGUCUUCGGAUCGUAAAACUCUGUUAUUAGGGAAGAACAAAUGUGUAAGUAAAUAUGCACGUCUUGACGGUACCUAAUCAGAAAGCCACGGCUAACUAAGUG
rnacentral:rRNA from 1 species